CACCCAUCGUGGCAAGCGACUUCGGGCGCCCAAGGCUGGUAUUGGAACAGGGGCCAGCCGCUAGCGCACGUUGGGGAUGCAGGGGCCGGUAGUCGGGGGACUGCCGGCCCCAUUUUU
rnacentral:antisense_RNA from 1 species